rnacentral:rRNA from 1 species
GUGGGGAAUAUUGGACAAUGGGCGGAAGCCUGAUCCAGCAACGCCGCGUGAGGGAUGACGGCCUUCGGGUUGUAAACCUCUUUCACCUCCGACGAAGCGAAAGUGACGGUAGGGGGAGAAGAAGCACCGGCCAACUACGUGCCAGCAGCCGCGGUAAUACGUAGGGUGCGAGCGUUGUCCGGAAUUAUUGGGCGUAAAGGGCUCGUAGGCGGUUUGUCGCGUCGGGAGUGAAAACACCGGGCUUAACUCGGUGCUGGCUUCCGAUACGGGCAGACUAGAGGUAUUCAGGGGAGAACGGAAUUCCUGGUGUAGCGGUGAAAUGCGCAGAUAUCAGGAGGAACACCGGUGGCGAAGGCGGUUCUCUGGGAAUUACCUGACGCUGAGGAGCGAAAGUGUGGGGAGCGAACAGGAUUAGAAACCCCAGUAGUCC